GAUGAACGCUGGCGGCGUGCCUAAUACAUGCAAGUCGAGCGAACAGACGAGGAGCUUGCUCCUCUGACGUUAGCGGCGGACGGGUGAGUAACACGUGGAUAACCUACCUAUAAGACUGGGAUAACUUCGGGAAACCGGAGCUAAUACCGGAUAAUAUAUUGAACCGCAUUGUUCAAUAGUGAAAGACGGUUUUGCUGUCACUUAUAGAUGGAUCCGCGCCGCAUUAGCUAGUUGGUAAGGUAACGGAUUACCAAGGCAACGAUGCGUAGCCGACCUGAGAGGGGGAUCGGCCACACUAGAACUGAAACAAGGUCCAGACUACUACGGGAGGCAGCAGUAGGGAAUCUUCCGCAAUGGGCGAAAGCUUGACGGGGCAACGCCGCGUGAGGGAUGAAGGUCUUCGGAUCGUAAAACUCUGUUAUUAGGGAAGAACAAAUGUGUAAGUAACUAUGCACGUCUUGACGGUACCUAAUCAGAAAGCCACGGCUAACUACGUG
rnacentral:rRNA from 1 species